rnacentral:rRNA from 1 species
CGUAGGGUGCGAGCGUUAAUCGGAAUUACUGGGCGUAAAGCGUGCGCAGGCGGUUUAGUAAGACAGGCGUGAAAUCCCCGGGCUCAACCUGGGAACUGCGCUUGUGACUGCUAAGCUAGAGUACGGCAGAGGGGGUGGAAUUCCACGUGUAGCAGUGAAAUGCGUAGAGAUGUGGAGGAACACCAAUGGCGAAGGCAGCCCCCUGGGUCGAUACUGACGCUCAUGCACGAAAGCGUGGGUAGCAAACAGGAUUAGAUACCCUGGUAGUCCACGCCCUAAACGAUGUCAACUAGGUGUUGGGAGGGUAAACCUUUUAGUACCGGAGCUAACGCGUGAAGUUGACCGCUGGGGAGUACGGCCGCAAGGUUA